GACGAACGCUGGCGGCGUGCCUAAUACAUGCAAGUCGAACGCAGUGGGGACGGGUGAGUAACACGUGGGUAACCUCCCAUCAGAGGGGAAAACACUUGGAAACAGGUGCUAAACCGAUACUGAUGGAUGGACCCGCGGUGCAUUAGCUAGUGGGUGAGGUAACGGCUCACCAAGGCCACGAUGCAUACCAGACCUGAGAUGGGUAUCGGCAACAAUGGGAUUGAGACACGGCCCAGACUCCUACGGGAGGCAGCAGUAGGGAAUCUUCGGCAAUGGACGGAAGUCUGACCGAGCAACGCCGCGUGAGUGAAGAAGGUUUUCGGAUCGUAAAGCUCUGUUGUAAGAGAAGCGGUAUCUUACCAGAAAGGGACGGCUAACUACGGGCCAGCCGCAGCGGUAAUUC
rnacentral:rRNA from 1 species